UACAGAGGAUGCAAGCGUUAUCCGGAAUGAUUGGGCGUAAAGCGUCUGUAGGUGGCUUUUAAGUCCGCCGUCAAAUCCCAGGGCUCAACUCUGGACAGGCGGUGGAAACUACCAAGCUGGAGUACGGUAGGGCAGAGGGAAUUCCGGUGGAGCGGUGAAAUGCGUAGAGAUCGGAAAGAACACCAACGGCGAAAGCACUCUGCUGGGCCGACACUGACACUGAGAGACGAAAGCUAGGGGAGCGAAUGGG
rnacentral:rRNA from 1 species